CGUGUAGGCGGGAAAGCAAGUCUGAUGUGAAAGCCCCGGGCUUAACCUGGGAAGUGCAUUGGAAACUGUUUUUCUUGAGUACUGGAGAGGAAGGGAGAAUUCCCGGUGUAGAGGUGAAAUUCGUAGAGAUCGGGAGGAACACCAGUGGCGAAGGCGCCCUUCUGGACGGUUACUGACGCUGAGACGCGAAAGCGUGGGGAGCAAACA
rnacentral:rRNA from 1 species